CGGUGCCUGCACCUCGAGGUCCAGCAAACCGAAAUCUCGAAUUCACAGUCGUCGUACCAUUCCGGUCUCCUCUGGAGGCAGAGAUUGCGCGCAGUUUCCUGGCCAUGGAUUUACCGAGCUGCGAGGAAGAGAUUGAUAUGCAGUUGACGGUUCAGGGCAGCGUCAUGACUGUCAGGUGGAGUGAAGAAGACAUUUUUGUGUUACGAAUUUACACCAACUGUUUCCUGAAACAACUUAGCCUGGUGAAACGCCAUCUUGCCAGCUUUGCACCUCCAGAUCUGCGAAACCCUGAAGGGCAAAGGGGGGCUGAUGCCUAAGCUUCCUUCCAAACGUACCCAGUGUUUCCUUCCCAGAGCACUGAUUGCUUCAAUCGUUUGCCACUAUGAGCCUGUUUGCCUGAAUUAGACCUUGAACGUGGAGGACCCACUCCUUUGGUUUUCUUGUUUGGGAGGGAAGAGGGCGCUUCAUUGUUUGUCACUGCAGAAAAUAAAACCGAGCUGCAACAUUUCGUCCUGAUAUUUGAGGGGAGGUUCUGGGACUCAGAUUUCCAAUUAAUUCAAUAGAAUUGAGGACAAUUGGAGAACCAAAGUUCAUUUUUUUCUGAAAUGUGUUCUGUCAUUCAGCAUUCACCACUGAAAACAUUUUGGAAUUGAUUUUCCUUUGUAUAUUUGCAUGUAUGUAUUAGUGAGCGCACCU